AGGCAUGAUAGAUCUACACCAACUUGUUUUGCCCCAUGCGGAGCCAGCAUUCUGCUCGGUAGAGGUUGAGUGCGAGAAGUAGACUGUCUACGCAUUCCUGCUGGACAGAAUAGUGACUAUACUGGCCCAGAGCAGCAAGUGUUGUGCUGUCUAAACAAAACACUCUUCAGGACCAAGCACUGUUGGCCGGAAAGGAUCUGAUUAUAGCCUGGAGCAGCAAGAAUUCUGCUCGCCAUGCAAAACGGCGUUCGAACUCGAUCAAAGGAACUAAAAUGUUCUUUUGUUCACAGUUACUCAGGCCUGUUUGCUGGCAGUGUGCUGAUUUUGGCCCAAAAAGCAACUGUUCUGAACACUUGACAAAACAGCCUUCAGAGCCAACCAUUACUCAGGUCUAUUUUCCGUGAAGAAGCUGAUUUCAGCCCAGAGCAGGAAGCAUUCCGCUCACCAGGCGAGAUGGUGUUCAGACUCGACAACAGGAAGUAGGAUGUCUACUCAACCCUACUGGCUGGAGGUUGACUAUAUUGGUCCAGGGCAGCAGGUAUUCGGCUCGCUAACAAAACAGCCUUCACAGCCAAGUACUACUCAGACCUGUCGACUAGAAAGGAGCUGAAUUUGGUGCAGAGUAGCAAGCAUCCUGCUCACUAGAUAAAACAGUCUUCAAACUCGAGCGCAAGAGAUGGGACUGCCUACUUGGCGGUGAGGAGCAUUUUGGUCCAGAACAGCAACUGCCCUUCUGGCUAGACAAAUUGGCCUUCGGUGUCUAGUACUACUCAGAAAUGUUGGCCGGGAAGGAGCUAAUUUUACCUUGAAGAAGUCAGCAUUCCGCAGACCAUGCAGAACGGUCUUCAGUCUCGAGAACAAGGGGA